GGUGGCUCAGUGGUAGAGCGCUUGCUUUGUAUACAUGAAGCCCUGGGUUCAAUUCCUCAGCACCA
rnacentral:tRNA from 1 species